rnacentral:rRNA from 1 species
ACGGGAGGCAGCAGUGGGGAAUAUUGCACAAUGGGGGAAACCCUGAUGCAGCGACGCCGCGUGAGUGAAGAAGUAUUUCGGUAUGUAAAGCUCUAUCAGCAGGGAAGAAAAUGACGGUACCUGACUAAGAAGCCCCGGCUAACUACGUGCCAGCAGCCGCGGUAAUACGUAGGGGGCAAGCGUUAUCCGGAUUUACUGGGUGUAAAGGGUGCGUAGGCGGUAUGGCAAGUCAGACGUGAAAGACCGGGGCUCAACUCCGGGGCUGCAUUUGAAACUGCCAGACUGGAGUACAGGAGAGGCAGGCGGAAUUCCUAGUGUAGCGGUGAAAUGCGUAGAUAUUAGGAGGAACACCAGUGGCGAAGGCGGCCUGCUGGACUGUUACUGACGCUGAGGCACGAAAGCGUGGGGAGCAAACAGGAUUAGAUACCCUGGUA